ACGCUCGACACCUACGGGAGCAGCAGUAGGGAAUCUUCCGCAAUGGACGAAAGUCUGACGGAGCAACGCCGCGUGAACGAUGAAGGUUUUCGGAUCGUAAAGUUCUGUUGUUAGGAAGAACAAACUUCGUUUGAAUAAGGCGGAGUCAUGACGGUACCUAACGAGAAAGCCACGGCUAACUACGUGCCAACAGCCGCGGUAAUCUGAGCGGGCUGGCAAGGC
rnacentral:rRNA from 1 species